rnacentral:rRNA from 1 species
GUGCCAGCCGCCGCGGUAAGACGAAGGUGGCGAGCGUUAUUCGGAAUCACUGGGCUUAAAGGGCGCGUAGGCGGAACGGCAAGUGUCUUGUGAAAUCCCCCGGCUUAACCGGGGAAUGGCUGGGCAAACUGCCGUUCUUGAGGCAAGCAGGGGUGCGUGGAACUCUUGGUGGAGCGGUGGAAUGCGUAGAUAUCAAGAGGAACGCCGAUGGUGAAGACAGCGCACUGGGCUUGUCCUGACGCUGAGGCGCGAAAGCGUGGGGAGCAAACAGGAUUAGAUACCCUGGUAGUCCACGCCCUAAACGAUGCCUACUAGGUUGUGGAGGUUCCGACGCGGUCACGGCCGAAGCGAAAGUGUUAAGUAGACCGCCUGGGGAGUACGGUCGCAAGGCUGAAACUUAAAGGAAUUGACGGGG